UACAGAGGGGCAAGCGUUGUUCGGAAUUACUGGGCGUAAAGGGCGCGUAGGCGGCCUUCUAAGUCGAACGUGAAAUCCCCGGGCUCAACCCGGGAACUGCGUCCGAGACUGGAAGGCUUGAAUCCGGGAGAGGGAUGUGGAAUUCCAGGUGUAUCGGUGAAAUGCGUAGAUAUCUGGAGGAACAUCGGUGGCGAAGGCGGCAUCCUGGACCGGUAUUGACGCUGAGGCGCGAAAGCCAGGGGAGCAAACGGG
rnacentral:rRNA from 1 species